UACAAUUGCAGACCAUGAAUUUCUUUAAAAAAAUAAGGAAAAACAUCUCUUACCAUUUGUUUUCUGAAAUUGACCUUUCAAGGCAAAAAAUGAAGUUGUUUGCUCCUGGCCUAGUCUUUCCACUUCAGGGUCCCCAUUGUCAGCAACUUAAGACUGUCCCUAGUCAUCAGCCCCGGCCACCACCAGGAGUGGGGAGGUUGGAGGAAGAUUCAGAUGAUGCAGAAUGCUAAAGUGUCAGGGGAUACUUGAGCAGGGGAUAAAGCAAACUUUGGGAAAGAAGUAUAAAAUAAAUAUUAAUCCAUUUUUUAUGUUAAAACCCAGUUAUCUUUUUUUUUCUCUGAAUUUGAAGGAGUUCUUUGACCUAUUCUGAAUGGAGUGUCCAACACCAUUAUUGUGGGUGAUUGAGACUCAUCCGUAUGAACUAUUCACCUUCGUACCUCCCGUUUACAACUCAGCAUUGCUGGAAGAGCUGAACAGCCGCAUGGAUCAUUUUUCAAUUAUAGAAAAACAAAUUCUAAGCCUGAGAGAAAAAGUGCAUGAGAAAGAAAGGGAGGAAUAUAGCUGCUAGCAGACAAGACAUAUACUUCCCAGCUCCACCACUGUGACUCUUUUAAUUCAAAGAGAUUUUUCAAUUUUCCAGUGAGAUUCUGGCCUCAAUUCCUGUCCUAGGCUCAGAAAAAGCACAAUAGUUUCUUUAUACAUCUUUUCUUUUAAAAAGCUCCCUGGAAAAUAUUGUAAAUAUGCUACUAUAUUGAGGUUUGAUAAUAAAGGGAAAAAUUUUGCUCUUUAUACCCA
rnacentral:lncRNA from 1 species